AUGGAACACACCAUAUUAUGGACAACGGUGUUAAAAGAUAACGCAGGGGCUGCUGCUAUUGCAGAGAAAGAGUCACUAUUAGCUUGGUUCUCGGAAACAAUACUGACAUCGCCAUGGAAGUCUCUUUCUCAACAUCUUGUCGCUCGAAGUUCUACACGAAAACACUAUAGGAAGAUCGUCUGUGCAGUUUCCAGUCUCGAGCAACUUAUGAAAUGGCAACAUCAAUAUGAAGCUAUUAUCGGAUACGGUAUCAGGAUGAAGCAAUUAUCUAAUGUUAUCAAGUUAAAAUCGUAUGAACCUUGA